AAGUCGUAACAAGGUAACCGUAGGUGAACCUGCGGUUGGAUCAUUAAAAGUAUCCGAGUGCUUGACUCGAAGCAAAAAUGACAUUCAAAACUUAUCUGCGCAUGGAGGACUGCAUCAGUCGUUCGCGGAAUAAUGAAUUUGAAUGGAUGUUUUGUUUUUAAGUUUUAAGCAGAUCUCACCACAACUUGUGCACCUGUAAUAGACCGUUGGCGGUUGUCCAGUGCUCUGUGCUGCGACUUGCAUUCAAUUGCAAAGGCCGUCAACAAGUUCUCUCCUUUCUUUUUUUUUUUUAAGAAGAAAAGAAAUGGGACAACUUAAAAACCACUACAACAACCAUACUAUUUUAUUUUUUUUUAAAAAAUAACUUUUAACAAAAAGAUAACCAAGAACAACUAUUAACAAUGGAUCUCUUGGCUCUC
rnacentral:misc_RNA from 1 species